UUCUUUUCUUCUUAUACGUGUGUUGGAGUUGGUGAAGUCAAAUCGACAUCGGAAUGAACUAGAGAUAAGUCGGUACGAGUCAGGGCAUCGAAGGAAAUGGAGGUUUGGACGGCUAUUUUGGCCGAGGCAGCAGUGCCACGGUGCUAACACAAAAACAAAGAAAAAAAAGAGGGGCAGCAUCGAGACGCUCCGAACAUAUAGGCGGAAAUCAUAGGCACGCGAGCUUGUUUCUUCAGCGUUGCAUGUCCAUAGCGUUGAGACGCGAUGCUACCUCGAUAUAUAGAUGACGACUUGGGGUUAUUGGCAGCAGAGGGGUGGAGCAAGAUCGACGUAUUUGGGUAAUUAAAUCUUGUUCUAUUUGUGAGUUUUUCAUUUAUGGACCUAAGUAUAUAGUGUUUAAAUACUUAGAAGUUAUGGGGUUUUUGUUGGGACCUCUAGAGAGUAUAUGUCUGAAACCCGCAUCUAAGUGGAAGACUGUAUGUAACCUAUAAACUAUUGCGGCGAAUCAGUAUAAAUUAUGUUUAUUGAUUUCUCUA